UACGUAGGGUGCAAGCGUUGUCCGGAAUUAUUGGGCGUAAAGAGCUCGUAGGCGGCUUGUGCGUCGACUGUGAAAACCCGCGGCUUAACUGCGGGCUUGCAGUCGAUACGGGCAGACUAGAGUGCGGUAGGGGUGACUGGAAUUCCUGGUGUAGCGGUGGAAUGCGCAGAUAUCAGGAGGAACACCGAUGGCGAAGGCAGGUCACUGGGCCGCAACUGACGCUGAGGAGCGAAAGCAUGGGGAGCGAACAGG
rnacentral:rRNA from 1 species